UACGGAGGAUGCAAGCGUUAUCCGGAAUGCUUGGGCGUAAAGCGUCCGCAGGUGGCUAUGUAAGUCUGCUGUUAAAGAGCAAGGCUCAACCUUGUAAAGGCAGUGGAAACUACAUGGCUAGAGUGCGUUCGGGGCAGAGGGAAUUCCUGGUGUAGCGGUGAAAUGCGUAGAGAUCAGGAAGAACACCGGUGGCGAAGGCGCUCUGCUAGGCCGCAACUGACACUGAGGGACGAAAGCUAGGGGAGCGAAUGGG
rnacentral:rRNA from 1 species